rnacentral:rRNA from 1 species
UACGUAGGGUGCAAGCGUUAAUCGGAAUUACUGGGCGUAAAGCGGGCGCAGGCGGUUGUGCAAGACAGAUGGGAAAUCCCCGGGCUCAACCUGGGAACUGCAUUUGUGACUGCACGGCUAGAGUGUGUCAGAGGGGGGUAGAAUUCCACGUGUAGCAGUGAAAUGCGUAGAUAUGUGGAGGAAUACCGAUGGCGAAGGCAGCCCCCUGGGAUGACACUGACGCUCAUGCACGAAAGCGUGGGGAGCAAACAGG